GAUGAACGCUAGCGGCAGGCCUAAUACAUGCAAGUCGGACGGGAUUCAGGAGCUUGCUUCUGAUGAGAGUGGCGCACGGGUGCGUAACACGUAUGUAACCUACCUUUAUCAGGGGGAUAGCCUCUCGAAAGAGAGAUUAAGCCCGCAUAAAAUCACAGCACAGCAUUGUGUAAUGAUCAAAUAUUUAUAGGAUAAAGAUGGGCAUGCGGAACAUUAGCUAGAUGGCGGGGUAACGGCCCACCAUGGCGACGAUGUUUAGGGGAUCUGAGAGGAUGGCCCCCCAAACUGGUACUGAGACACGGACCAGACUCCUACGGGAGGCAGCAGUAAGGAAUAUUGGUCAAUGGGCGGAAGCCUGAACCAGCCAUGCCGCGUGCAGGAAGACGGCCCUACGGGUUGUAAACUGCUUUUAUACGGGAAUAAACCCAGAUACGUGUAUCUGGCUGAAUGUACUGUAAGAAUAAGGAUCGGCUAACUCCGUG
rnacentral:rRNA from 1 species